UACGUAGGGUGCAAGCGUUGUCCGGAAUUAUUGGGCCUAAAGCAUCCGUAGCCGGCCUUACAAGUCCCCCGUUAAAUCCAACUGCUUAACAGAUGGGCUGCGGAGGAUACUAUAAGACUAGGAGGCAGGAGAGGCAAGCGGUACUCAGUGGGUAGGGGUAAAAUCCGUUGAUCCAUUGAAGACCACCAGUGGCGAAGGCGGCUUGCCAGAAUGCGCUCGACGGUGAGGGAUGAAAGCUGGGGGAGCAAACCGG
rnacentral:rRNA from 1 species